rnacentral:tRNA from 1 species
GUGGGUAUAACUCAGUGGCAGAGCACAUGCUUAGCAUGCACAUGGUCCUGGGUUCAAUCCCCAGUACCUCCA